UACGAAGGGUGCAAACGUUGCUCGGAAUCAUUGGGCGUAAAGCGCACGUAGGCGGCCUCGCAAGUCUGAUGUGAAAUCCCUCGGCUCAACCGAGGACGUGCAUCGGAAACUGCGGGGCUUGAGUACUGAAGAGGAUCGCGGAAUUCCCGGUGUAGAGGUGAAAUUCGUAGAUAUCUGGAGGAACACCGGUGGCGAAGGCGGCAUCCUGGACCGACACUGACGCUGAGGAGCGAAAGCCAGGGGAGCAAACGGG
rnacentral:rRNA from 1 species